rnacentral:rRNA from 1 species
AGUGAACGCUGGCGGUAGGCCUGACACAUGCAAGUCGAACGGCAGCACAGUAAGAGCUUGCUCUUACGGGUGGCGAGUGGCGGACGGGUGAGGAAUACAUCGGAAUCUACUUUUUCGUGGGGGAUAACGUAGGGAAACUUACGCUAAUACCGCAUACGACCUACGGGUGAAAGCAGGGGAUCUUCGGACCUUGCGCGAUUGAAUGAGCCGAUGUCGGAUUAGCUAGUUGGCGGGGUAAAGGCUCACCAAGGCGACGAUCCGUAGCUGGUCUGAGAGGAUGAUCAGCCACACUGGAACUGAGACACGGUCCAGACUCCUACGGGAGGCAGCAGUGGGGAAUAUUGGACAAUGGGCGCAAGCCUGAUCCAGCCAUACCGCGUGGGUGAAGAAGGCCUUCGGGUUGUAAAGCCCUUUUGUUGGGAAAGAAAAGCAGCAGGUUAAUACCCCGCUGUUCUGACGGUACCCAAAGAAUAAGCACCGGCUAACUUCGUG